rnacentral:misc_RNA from 1 species
UUUCCGUAGGUGAACCUGCGGAAGGAUCAUUCAUAAUAAAGUGUUUUAUGGCACUUUUUAAAAAUCCAUAUCCACCUUGUGUGCAAUGUAGGGUUGAUUUUUCUCUCGAGAGGAUCAGCCCCAAACAUCAACUAUAUCUCAACUCUUUGUCUGAAAAAUAUUAUGAAUAAAACAAUUCAAAAUACAACUUUCAACAACGGAUCUCUUGGCUCUC